ensembl:lncRNA
UCUCAACCCCACCAGACAGGAAGCCACACAGUCACUUCUGGAGGGGAAUAGUCCUGUGAGCUGGGGAUGGAGGGCUGGGAGAGAUGGUGCAGACUGGGACCGGCCACUCCUUGGACGCCUGUGGUGGAGGGUCCUGUCCUUUACCAUGGCCACCAUACCUCUGGGUGUGGACAGCAUCUGCUGAUGGAGGAAUUCCCAGCAAUGUCCCUCUGUGAUGCAUGCGGUGACUUUCCAGGCACCUUCAGACCAGAGCCAGUGGUAGCACUGGCAUCUCAGUCUCCUCCUGUGGGGGCUGGCUCGGCCUGCAGGAUGGCUGGGACACCCUGGACAGCCAGCUCGGGCAUUGUCCUUGCAGAUCCGGGAUGUUCCAGGAACAGCGGUAUAAAUCCUGUUGAGAACUGGCCAGGAGAGACCAGGAUCGGACAUCGGUGGUAUUUGGCCCCUCUGGACACCGGUCUGCAGAAGGAGAGAGGCCACCCUGACGGUAUUCCAGGGCUAGGCCACCCUGACGGUAUUCUGGGGCUCUGGGUAGACUGGUCCCGGUCGGGCCUUAUCGCCAAUCAGCCGACCCGAAGGAGUUUAUCGGGAAAGCCUCUAGAGGUGGCUGGGAGUUGGACGGAGCAGGCCUUCUCCGAGCUGGCGCUUUCUCUGGGCUGGGUUGUGCUUCACUCCCGUUACCCAGAGCCCUGACAGCUGUCUGCACAUUUGUGGAGCUUCAGUGAGAGGCCAGCCUGCUAGAUUUCAAAACACUUGAAGCAUCAAGAACUAACAAAUGAGGGGCUGGGGAUUUAGCUCAGUGGUUCUGCCGCCUGCCUCUCAAGCACAAGGUCCCGAGUUUGAUCCCUGGCACCAAAAGAAAAAAAGAAAAAGAACUAACGAAUGAGAUUACAUCAAAUUAAGAGGCUCUGCACAGCAAAGAAAACAAUCAACAGAGUGAGGAGACGACCCACAGAAUGGGGAAAAAGUUUGCCAGUUAUCUCUCCAGCAGAGGACUAAUAUCUAGAGUAAAAAAGCAAAAACAAAAACCUAGACCUCCGAAAAUAAAGGACCCACUGGAAAAAUGGGCAAUGAAAACGCAUGGACACUUCUCCAAAGAGAUACAAAUGGCCGGUGAAAAAAUGUGCAACUCCCUGGACGUUAGAGAAAGGCAAAAUAAAACAACACUGAGAUUUUGUCUUCUAAAGAAAGGCCAUCAUCUGGGCCGGGGAUUUAGCUCAGUGGUUUCGCUGCCUACUGCGCAAGUUCGAUGCCUGGUACAAAAAAAAAAAAAAAAAAGAAUGGCCAGCAUCAUCAAGAAAACAAAUAAUAACAAACGACAAGGUGCAGGAGAAAAAGGAACCUAAAAAACUAAAACUAGAGAUUCCAUUUGAUCCAGUUAUCCCCUUCUAGAAUAAGUCAAAGACAUCGUAUUACAGAGAUCAAUCCAUGCACACCCAUGCUUAUAGCAGCACAACCUAUAAUAACUAAAUCCUGGAGGUGUCCACCAGCACAUGGGUAGAUAAAGAAAGUGUGGUAAUUACACACAAUGGAGUACUACUUUGCUAUAAAGAAGGAUAAACUCGAGUUGUUUGUAGGAAAAUGGAUGCACCUUGAGACCAUAAUGUUAAGUAAAAUAAAUCAGACAUACAGCUCAAAUAUCAUAUAGUUUCUCUUAUAUGAGAAACCCAAAAUAUAAAUAAUUUAAAGAGUGAAAUUAGAGAUAGAUAACAGGAAUCAGAAAUAGAUCUUUGGCCUGUUUCACUCGGUCUCAGCCAACUUCUGUAGCAUAGAAUUGAUUUUAGAAGUUUAAUCAAACUUUAAAUCUUAUUACAUGUCUUUACUAAAACAGAAUCCUUUCCACUGCUGGUGUAACAUCUGGUGUUCAUUUGGAAGCCAGCAUAAAGCACAGAAUGGAGCUUUUUGCAUCUGGAUCUGGACCUACACUCUUUUGAGCAUAGCCCUGAGGGCCUGGGCUCCCGCUGGGGCCUCAGGGAGGUGCGAACAUGGAGUGGUGGAG